rnacentral:lncRNA from 1 species
GAAGUCUAUAGAUGUUGGUUCUGUUCUUGCUCCUAUAGACUAGAAUCAAGUUGACUAUACACUUCUUCGCGAAGCACGAAGCCAAAAGAGGAAGGCAGUCGACUCCCCACCAUGGAAUGGUUAGGGCGGUCUUGACCAGGAGAUUCAAAAUCUUUGUCACACCCGGAUUUAAGGAACAAAGUCAGGUGCAUCUCAUAUAUGUGCCAGAAAAGACAACACAUAUAAUAACAGAGUGCAUAGAGAUAAAUGUCAUAAAUAUCAUAAAUGUACUUAUUACAUAGCGGAAGUCUUACAAAAAUAAAUGAUAAAAUAAAGCGAACUAUAUAUUAUUCCCUGGCGCCACAAAGCUGACUAGGAGACGCCACCUAGAUCAAGUCGAAAGCCUCAGUGUUAGGCGGCUCCUCUUCGACCACCCGUUCUUUUCCUAUGGGGGUGUGAGACAACAAGAGUGAGCUCACAUACGAUCAUAGCUCAACAAGUUGUGGGGAAUCAUGUGCAUGAACUCACCAAAGGUGGGAGUUCAUGUGAAGUGUAAGGCUGAUCAACAAAAUAAAGGCUGAAGCUGAGAAUUACUUUUAUAAGUUGGUCAAAAUUUUAUUAGCAAUUACUAAGUAUAAGUAAAUACCAAACCUUAGUAAAUAAAAGUAAUAAUAAAAUAAUCCCAAAUGCGAUGCAAAUGACAAAUUGAGUUUUAAUUCCAUAGAUUAAUCAUGUGAGGGUCCGAGCUGCUCAUGACCGUGAGCACGGCUAGUAUACCAGUUUUACACUCUGCAGAGGUUGCACAUCUUUACCCACAAGUCAUGUUACCCAUCUGCCAAGAGACGGCCAAUCCCAUACACCUCUACCGAGGAGGCGAGGCAGGGUAACACUACGAGGCCUUUACAAAGUUCCACUAGCUUCAGAAAUCCCGCUACAGUUUAUAGGAAGCUCCAGUGCAGGAAUCCCUCGCCUGACCGUCAUCGCAGCAAAAUCAACCCAAGGACUUCCCUACACUGACCACUCCCCUACUGCCCUUGCCCCUUUUGGGUAAGAAAGUCAUCCACUAGCUUUCCUAGUUAAUCAGCCAAGUGCAUUCCAUACUACCCUUGUGGUAGCACUGUUUUCCCGGGUGGUCGCUCCAUGUUCCCAUUAACAUAAUGAUCUUAACAUGAACAAUAAUAAUAAACAAAUAAUAAAAGUGUAAUCAUGAAUAGUGUACCUCCAUACCCAAACCACAAUAAGCAAUAGCAAGUACUACCCAAAAAUAUUCAGUGGCAAUAAGGUAUAAAGAUUGCCAAAACUGGGGUAACCUAUUGGUUCCCAUCAAAAUUAACCUAUGCAGAUCAUUAUGAAUAUUAAGAACAUGGCUGAGAAAAAAUAAGUGAUCAAGGGCACAACUUGCCUGACACUUGAGAUUCCAGUUACCAGGGUGAUUCUUCAGAUCCUCGUGACCGCACUGCUAGUCGUAGCAAUACAAACAAACAUGGUGUAGACAAAAUUAACAUCACACCAUACAUAAGAACAAACUGCAUAAUCAUGAUCUACGCGUGGCUAUGAGAUCGUGGGAACGAGAACCACUAAAAUCGGAGUCAUGGUUAAGGAGCUAUGAUUUUAUAGAGGCUUCAUGUGAUUAAAAUAUCAAACUAUAUCAUAAAUUGGUUAAUAUAAAUCAUUUGAGAGGUUAUUCUCUAAAUAACUAUCUACACUUUAAUCCACAUUAUAAAUUGACCUUAGAUCAUAUUUUAGUAGAUUAUAAUGGUGAGUAUAUUAACCAAACUAACCAACAUAAGUUAAAUAAAGAUCUAAUUAUAAAAGAAUAAGACAUGGUAUAGUAAAUGUUGUUAUUGCAUAGUAAAUAUUUAUACGAGACUAACGCAACUGGAACGAGUCAAUUAGGAUUUAAAACGAAAGGGUUAUGAAUUUCUGAAGGUUUUAUGUAUUUGAUACAUGAUUAAUUAGAAUAUAAAUUUUGAUGUGACUUAAUGUCGAAAACAGAGGUACUAUGUGAUAAACAAUAAUAUUAUAUAAUUAUAGAAAUUGGAAUGAACUAAUUUGGACAUUAUAUGAAUUUUCUAUGAAUUAAACAAUUCUUUGGAUUUGUUUUUAUAUUCAAAAUUCAUUUUCUAUAUUAAUUUCUGAAUUUACUAAGGAUCCUGGACUGGGCGCAAUAUUACCGAGAAGUUUAGGGACUAAAACGGAAACAUUCCUAAGACUCAGGCUUAACCAUGCAGUGGACCGCGAGUUGAUAUUGGUAAAGUUCAAGGGCUCUUUAGCAAAAGCGAUCGACCGACCAACCGCGGCGCAAACACGACCAUUGGAUCUGAUAUCUAAGGUUAAAAACAGACCGCGAACCGGUAUGCACCCACAACGGUUGAAUCCAGAAUCAACGGCCGUGGUUUAAUGAAACGAGAUUGAAUCUGGGUCAUGGAAUCCUGAUCGAACGAUCCGAAGUGAUCCCACCGAAGGGGUAUAAGUGCGCCUAAUCGCAACCGCCCGAUAGGGAUCGGACGGCCAGGAGUCGUUCUCCUUCCCCGAGAUCCCCGAUCGGACGGCGCGGUGACCCGCCGUAGCGGCGCCAUGGGCAACCAUCGUGCGGAGGUCGCUCCCGAGUAGGGACCCCAAAUACUAUUGUGUAAAAACAAAUUUCGGGUCACAAAGGAACAGACAGGAGGAAUCUCACCGUUGAUUGCCGCACGAACAGCCCCGGCCACGACAAAGUGUGGUUCCGCGGCGGUGCUAGAUCUCCGGCGAGGAAUUAAAGACGUCCCGAGGGACACCCCAUUAUGGCGCGGCCAUAGAAACGUUCCUCGCGCCAUGGCGAAUCUCCCCGACUGGUCCCCGAUGAUUCGACGUACGCUUGACCGCGAAUCAGCCAUGGCGGCCGCAGUUCUCUCCUCUCUCUCGCGUUCUUUCUACCGGUGUUAACGAUGACCUGGGGUUUUGGGGAGGCGCGACGGCUAGUGCAGUACGCGGCUCCCCUGGCGGCGUGGAUUUAUACAGCGCCUGGGUAGCGGCCAAACCGGAGGGUCGCAACGACCGUGACAUGCC